AGCUGUACCAUCUUGGGCAAGGACCAUUCAAGACACAUUACAGGUUAUGCUCCGGAGGAUGGAGACAUUGGAGGAGAACCAGCGAGAGGCUCUCCUAUUCAGGCGACUACAGGGCAGACACAGUGAAGAGGUGCCAGUGAUGGACCUACAGGUGGCCCAAACACAGGCUGAACUCCAAGACCUUAUGGAGCGCCUUAAGGUGCUGGAGUUCCGAAAGAGAGUGACGCUGUGAUGAAGUGAAAGACGGGACUGGGAGAGAAGGCUAUGGAGCUCCUCAUAGCGGAGACAAAACAAGCCAGGUGAAUGAAUCAUGAUUGCAGCUUCCAUAUCCAACCUUUCACAUGGCUAUGUGAUUUUUUUUGAUGUAUAUUAUUUUAGAUGUGAUUUUUUAUGACUUGUAUAGCCCCUUUCACACGUGCAAUUAUGUUGAUAGAACACUAACUUAUUUUGUGCUUCAUUGUCAGGGCCAACAGACAGGCCCUGUAGCGGGGACUGGCAGAAGAUUUUAAUUCACUGUUUGGUACUUUGUUUGAAAUAAAAUGACUGAAUGUUACAUGGAAAUGCUGCCUUGUUUAUGAUUAGCUUGAGUUAGGCUACACAUCACACAAACAUAGUCCUCCUAAAGUUGGCUACCAUGUAGCCUAUUAUAC